CUUGGAUCUAAACUGGAAACAGUUUUUGUACUAAUCAAAAGAUAAAUUUCAGGAGACAAAUGAAUGCCAACUCCAGUUUGCAUCUCAUUAUAGGAAAAAAAAAGUUUUAUACAGAGGGCGGAAAACCAUUUCUAAAUCAAUUUUUUAACACUUAGUUUUGUGAAUUGUCCAUCCAAUAAUAUAGUCAAGUGUCCCAUGACACCAUGGUUCCACAACAAACCAGAUUGAUUAUCAAGUUCGUACAAUUACGAUAUGUAGUUGACAAGAAGAGAACAGGUAUCCAACUCUAAAUUGUGAAGAUAAUGAUCUAUCCACAAGAUUAACAUAUUCAUAGCACAAGUUAUAUGAAUCAUUACACUUCCACAAUGUGCCCUGGUUCUAAUCUUUAUACACAAAGCCGAAGGCAAGAAGUAAAUGGGCUGAUUAUCUUAACUCUACGGUACUGCAUAUCAUACUUUGAGUACUUAUUCUCAGAGUGAAAUUAGAUUGAGGAUGUUUUGCCAAGAUUAAAAAGAAGUAAAUGUUAAGCUUCCUUGUUGCAAAAUAUAUUUUAACAGGUUACUUCUCAUGUUAACAAGACUUACUUUUCCAGAGAGUAUAAUUAAACACUAAACUUAGCCAAAAAUGCCCUGAAUGGAGAGCUUAAAAAAAAAAGAUGCAGGAUAUCUUCAGUUUUUACAAAUAAAGUUAUUGUCGAAUCAGAUGGAAAAUGAGAUAUAACUGAAAAGAUACAAGCUCUGGCAUUCAUUUAAGAACUGGACCUUGGCAUUCAUUUGACAAAGUGAUAUUUACAUUUAUAAAUGUUAACUCAAGUCAAUGAAUUACAGCUAUUUAUAGCCAGCUACAUAAAUUCAGUUUCUCCUUCUUGUGUGUGUGUGUGUGUGUGUGUGUUUUUUUUUUUUUUUUUUUUUUUUGGGUCAUAUCACCACCGUCAAUAAGUAGCCAAUUGUUUUUUUCCUUAUGAAUGGAUUCAUCAGUCUUCGCUGGUUUUUUAUAUUCUCUUGAUCAACAGUCACAUUUUUUGCGAUGCUCAUUUUGUUAAUAUACUGAUUUUAGCAGCCUCAUUAUGUUCCAUGAGCACGAAAUUUCCUUUAUAACUUCCUUGAAG
rnacentral:lncRNA from 1 species